CCUACGGGAGGCAGCAGUAGGGAAUCUUUCACAAUGCGCGAAAGCCUGAUGGAGCAACGCCGCGUGCAGGAUGAAGGCCUUCGGGUUGUAAACUGCUUUUAUAAGCGAGAAAUAUGAUGGUAACUUAUGAAUAAGGAUCGGCUAACUACGGGCCAGCAGCCGCGGUCAUACGUAGGAUCCGAGCAUUAUCCGGAGUGACUGGGUGUAAAGAGUUGCGUAGGUGGCAUAAUAAGUAGCUAGUGAAAUCUCGUGGCUCAACCAUUCAGACUAUUAGCUAAACUGUUAAGCUCGAGAACGUUAGGGGUAACUGGAAUUUCUAGUGUAGGAGUGAAAUCCGUAGAUAUUAGAAGGAACACCGAUAGCGUAGGCAGGUUACUGGGACGGUUCUGACACUAAGGCACGAAAGCGUAGGGAGCAAACGGGAUUAGAUACCCGGGUAGUC
rnacentral:rRNA from 1 species